GCCCUUGAAAUAAUCAAAGGUGUAACCUGCCCAAUGGCUCAAAAGUUUAUAAAAUUAAUCUAUUUAAAAGAGAGCUUAAAGGACGCAGUAUCCUGACUGUGAUAAUGUAGCAUAAUCACUCGCCACUUAAUUGGUGGAUAGUAUGAAUGGUUGAACGAAUAUUACACUCGUCUCCUCUAGAAAAUUCUUUAAAUUGAAAUAAUAGUAAAGAUGCUAUUUAAAACUGUAAGACGAAAAGACCCUAUAGAGCUUAACUAUAUUCUAUAAUAAAUAAAUGAAACAAAUAAUUUUUCCAAAUCAUAGAACGGUAGUUUAGUUGGGGCGACUUUCUUUUAUACUUAACAAAGAUAAGCAAUGUUAAUAUCAACACUUAUUGUAUAAUACAUAAAUUUAACAAUUACAAUAGUAGGCUAUAAUGACCCAUUAGAAUUAAAAGACAAAUCUAAUGAUCAAUAAAUAAAAGCUACCUUAGGGAUAACAGGAUAAUUUUGUUUUAGAGAUCAUAUCGAAGACAAAGUUUGUCACCUCUAUGUUGAAUUAAGAUAACCUAAUAAUGCAGAAGUUAUUAAAGGUAGGUCUGUUCGACCUAUAAAAUCUUA
rnacentral:rRNA from 1 species